rnacentral:rRNA from 1 species
CGGAAUCACUGGGCGUAAAGGGAGCGUAGGCGGCGUGGAAAGUCAGAUGUGAAAUCCCGGGGCUCAACCCCGGAACUGCAUCCGAUACUACCAUGCUAGAGUAUGGGAGGGGUAACUGGAAUUCUCGGUGUAGCAGUGAAAUGCGUGGAUAUCGAGAGGAACACCUGUGGCGAAAGCGAGUUACUGGACAAUUACUGACGCUGAGGCUCGAAGGCUAGGGGAGCAAAAGGGAUUAGAUACCCCUGUAGUCCUAGCAGUAAACGGUGCACGCUUGGUUUGAGGGGAAUCGACCCCCUUCGAGCCGGAGCAAACGCGUUAAGCGUGCCGCCUGGGAAGUACGGUCGCAAGACUAAAACUCAAAGAAAUUGACGGGGACCCGCACAAGCGGUGGAGUAUGUGGCUUAAUUCGAUGCAACGCGAAGAACCUUACCUAGGCUUGACAUGCAUUUCUAAGCCGGUGAAAGCCGGUGACCCUUCGGGGGACUUGCACAGGUGCUGCAUGGCCGUCGUCAGCUCGUGUCGUGAGAUGUUGGGUUAAGUCCCGCAACGAGCGCAACCCCUGUGAUUAGUUACCAGCGCGUUAUGGCGGGGACUCUAAUCAGACUGCCCAGAUCAACUGGGAGGAAGGUGGGGACGACGUCAGGUCAGUAUGGCCCUUACGCCUAGGGCUGCACACGUACUACAAUGCCCAGCACAAUGAGAACCGAGACCGCGAGGUGGAGGAAAUCUACAAAACUGGGCUCAGUUCGGAUUGGAGGCUGCAACUCGCCUCCAUGAAGCUGGAAUCGCUAGUAAUGGCACAUCAGCUACGGUGCCGUGAAUACGUUCCCGGGUCUUGUACACACCGCCCGUCACAUCAUGGAAGUCGGUCGCACCCGAAGUGCCUGCGCCAACCGCAAGGAGGCAGGGCCCUAAGGUGUAGCUGGUAACUGGGAUGAAGUCGUAACAAGGUAGCC